UCUAGAGCCUCACGUCCACCCACCCUAUCUCUGGCCACCGACGCCCAUCCUCUCCCCCGCCGGCGAAACACUCCCACUGCCGCAGCCGAAAACAGUCCCAAUCUCGACACCCAAAGGAGCACACCAACGUGAGAGGCAGGAUAGAGCCCAUCCCCUCCGCCAUGGUCAACGGCCCGCCGCCCAUGAUGGCACUGACGCCCCCCAAUUCCCAUGCCAACGCGUAAGAGGCGGCGCCAUUGGAUGGAUGGCGCGCGUGCUAUAUGCGUGUGCGCGUGCGCCUGAAUGCUAGGGCGGCGUGCAGGAGCUCCCCCUUCUCCUCCCUUUUCCUCUCUCUCCCCCUGCGCGCGGUGGAGCUUGAGCUGGGCGGGACGCUAAGCGGGAGUUCUUGGGGGCAGAGGAAGAAGACGUUCAGGUAGAAGGCGUGGACAUUGGGGAGUAGCUACAUGGGAGGAGGGCGUGAACGGUGGGAUGGGUGUUGGCUGGCUGUUGAGUGCAUCAAGGCUGCUCUAAUGUUGUUAAUUUUCUUGCUCUGCCCUGAUAUACUACUAUUUGAGCAUAUAUAAAGAGAUCAUAGAGGAAAGCAACAGUAGGCUGCUGCGAUUUUGUUCAUGGUGCUACUGGUUUUGUUAAUGUUGGUAUUUGCUUACUGAUUACAACUGCUGCUACUAGGUACUCGCUUUAUGAUAUGAAUAUUAUUCAGUUAUUCUUUCUUUGUUGUUUCUAUCUGAAUAUUAUUCAGUUAUUCUUUCUUUGUUGUUUCUAUCUGAAUAUUAUUCAGUUAUUCUUUCUUGUUUCUAUCUCAAUAUUAUUCAGAUAUUCUUUCUUUGUCUAAAUCGAUUUAGGAGAAGAGAUAGAGAGAAGAGUUACUGGUGUGGUUCAUUUGGGAAAUUUAGUACUUUGUUUAUACUGCUUUGUUUUAGGGGAUGAAGUAAAUAGAAGAAGAAAUUCCUGGGAUGGAUCUCUAUGAAAGUUGUUACAUGAAGUAUUUUAUCUGGGAACGCCUAAUACCCCUGGUGUUGGGUUUGGUCUUCAUUCAAUCCCCAAAUUAUAUGGUCUGGUAAGAUUUUUCCUUUUGCAAAUUUGAUUGCUUAAUGGUGUGUACGCCAGCAUCCGUCUCCUGUUUUCCUUGCAUGCUCACCGACAACAGCGACAUCGGCGGGAGACGAGGAGUAUCCCGUGUUUGUUCUGACGAGCAUUGCAAGCUCUGAAAUGUACAUAUUACCUUGACGAGGACACCCCAUCUCAGCUCUUGGCUUCCAGGGAUACGUGCUGCCAGCGGUAGCACAAUCACACUGGCACAGUGCCCCGCGUCGUCUGCACCGAUGCUGCUGUGUCCUACCUCCAUGCUUCACCGUUGUGAUUCCAUCCGCCAGGAGAUUCUGCAUAUGGGGAGAAACAUCCAAUUUUUCAAGACACAUCCCGAAUAUUUGUUUCCUGGUUGUCCGUUGUCAACGUUUUCUUUGCAUAGACCUGGUUGAUGUAAGAAAAUUUACAAGUAGUCCGAUACUAAUAUUUUUGUAUGUACAUACAUGUGCACUCACCCCUUCUAUAUAAAUAUGAUUGCUCAAAUAUGAUUCAAGAGCAUCUUUUACUUUA